rnacentral:rRNA from 1 species
UCGACGAUUCGGUGUGUACAAGGCCCGGGAACGGCCAGAGAUGGUCGCCCCCUUGUGGUCGGUAUACAGGUGGUGCAUGGCUGUCGUCAGCUCGUGUCGUGAGAUGUUGGGUUAAGUCCCGCAACGAGCGCAACCCUUGUUCUGUGUUGCCAGCAUGCCUUUCGGGGUGAUGGGGACUCACAGGAGACUGCCGGGGUCAACUCGGAGGAAGGUGGGGACGACGUCAAGUCAUCAUGCCCCUUAUGUCUUGGGCUGCACACGUGCUACAAUGGCAGGUACAAUGAGCUGCGAAGCCGUGAGGCGGAGCGAAUCUCAAAAAGCCUGUCUCCGUUCGGAUUGGGGUCUGCAACUCGACCCCAUGAAGUCGGAGUUGCUAGUAAUCGCAGAUCAG